GAUGAACGCUGGCGGCGUGCCUAAUACAUGCAAGUCGAGCGAACAGACGAAGAACCUGCUCCUCUGAAGAAAGCGGCGGAAGGGUGAGUAAAACGUGGAUAACCAACAUAUAAGAAUGGGAUAAAUCAGGGAAACCGAAGCUAAUAUAGGACAAUAGAUUGAACCGCACGGUUCAAUAGUAAAAGACGAUUUAGCUGACAAUUAUAGAUGGAUCCGCGCCGCUAUAGCUAGUUGGUUAGGUAACGGAUUACCAAGGAAACGAUAUGUAGUCAACCGGUAAGGAUGAUCAGCCACACUGGAAGUGAGACCCGGUCCAGUCUCCUACGGGAGGCGGCAGUAGGGAAACUGCCGCAAUGGGCGGAAGCCUGACGGAGCAGCGCCGCGUGAGUGAUGAAGAUCUUCGGAUCGUAAAACUCUGUUAUUAGGGAAGAACAAAUUUUUAAGUAGCUAUGCACGUCUUGACGGUACCUGAGCAAAAAGCCACGGCUAACUACGUG
rnacentral:rRNA from 1 species